UACGGAGGAUGCGAGCGUUAUCCGGAUUUAUUGGGUUUAAAGGGUGCGCAGGCGGAGUGCCAAGUCAGCGGUAAAAAUUCGGGGCUCAACCCCGUCGUGCCGUUGAAACUGGCGCCCUUGAGUGGGCGAGAAGUAUGCGGAAUGCGUGGUGUAGCGGUGAAAUGCAUAGAUAUCACGCAGAACCCCGAUUGCGAAGGCAGCAUACCGGCGCCCGACUGACGCUGAAGCACGAAAGCGUGGGUAUCGAACAGG
rnacentral:rRNA from 1 species